rnacentral:rRNA from 1 species
GAUGAACGCUGGCGGCGUGCCUAAUACAUGCAAGUCGAGCGAACGGACGAGAAGCUUGCUUCUCUGAUGUUAGCGGCGGACGGGUGAGUAACGCGUGGAUAACCUACCUAUAUGACUGGGAUAACUUCGGGAAACCGUAGCUAAUACCGGAUAAUCUUUUGAACCGCAUGGUGCAAAAGUGAAAGACGGUCUUGCUGUCACUUAUAGAUGGAUCCGCGCUGCAUUAGCUAGUUGGUAAGGUAACGGCUUACCAAGGCAACGAUGCAUAGCCGAACUGUGAGGGUGAUCGGCCACACUGGAGCGGGGACACGGUCCAGACUACUACGGGAGGCAGCAGUAGGGAAUGUUCCGCAAUGGGCGAAAGCCUGGCGGAGCAGCGCCGCGUGAGUGAUGACGGUCCUCGGAGCGUGAUGCUCUGUUAUUAGUGAAGAACAUAUGUGUAAGUAACUGAGCACAUCUUGACGGUACUUAAUCAGAAAGCCACGGCUAACUACGUG